GAUGAACGCUAGCGGCAGGCUUAAUACAUGCAAGUCGAGGGGCAGCAGGGGUGUAGCAAUACAUCUGCUGGCGACCGGCAAACGGGUGCGGAACACGUACGCAACUUACCCAUAACUGGGGGAUAGCCCGGGGAAACCCGGAUUAAUACCUCGUAAGAUAAUGGAGUGGCAUCACUUUAUUAUUAUAGCUCCGGCGGUUAUGGAUGGGCGUGCGGCUGAUUAGGUAGUUGGUGCGGGAACGGCCCACCAAGCCUGCGAUCAGUAACUGGUGUGAGAGCACGACCAGUCACACGGGGCACUGAGACACGGGCCCGACUCCUACGGGAGGCAGCAGUAAGGAAUAUUGGUCAAUGGACGCAAGUCUGAACCAGCCAUGCCGCGUGAAGGAUGAAGGUCCUCUGGAUUGUAAACUUCUUUUAUAUGGGACGAACCCGGAAUUCCUUCCGAUUGACGGUACCAUAGGAAUAGCACCGGCUAACUCCGUGCCAG
rnacentral:rRNA from 1 species